CAUGCAAGUCGAACGGUAACAGGUUAAGCUGACGAGUGGCGAACGGGUGAGUAAUAUAUCGGAACGUGCCCAGUCGUGGGGGAUAACUGCUCGAAAGAGCAGCUAAUACCGCAUACGACCUGAGGGUGAAAGCGGGGGAUCGCAAGACCUCGCGCGAUUGGAGCGGCCGAUAUCAGAUUAGGUAGUUGGUGGGGUAAAGGCUCACCAAGCCAACGAUCUGUAGCUGGUCUGAGAGGACGACCAGCCACACUGGGACUGAGACACGGCCCAGACUCCUACGGGAGGCAGCAGUGGGGAAUUUUGGACAAUGGGCGCAAGCCUGAUCCAGCAAUGCCGCGUGCAGGAUGAAGGCCUUCGGGUUGUAAACUGCUUUUGUACGGAACGAAAAAGCUCUGGUUAAUACCUGGGGCUCAUGACGGUACCGUAAGAAUAAGCACCGGCUAACUACGUGCCAGCAGCCGCGGUAAUACGUAGGGUGCGAGCGUUAAUCGGAAUUACUGGGCGUAAAGCGUGCGCAGGCGGUGAUGUAAGACAGUUGUGAAAUCCCCGGGCUCAACCUGGGAACUGCAUCUGUGACUGCAUCGCUGGAGUGCGGCAGAGGGGGAUGGAAUUCCGCGUGUAGCAGUGAAAUGCGUAGAUAUGCGGAGGAACACCGAUGGCGAAGGCAAUCCCCUGGGCCUGCACUGACGCUCAUGCACGA
rnacentral:rRNA from 1 species